rnacentral:rRNA from 1 species
GACAGAGGUGCCGAGCGUUAGGCGGAAUCACUGGGCUUAAAGCGUGUGUAGGCGGGCGAUCAAGUACCUUGUGAAAUCCCACGGCUCAACCGUGGAACCGCUGGGUAUACUGGUUGUCUUGAGCCGGCUAGGGGCGAGCGGAACAGACGGUGGAGCGGUGAAAUGCGUAGAUAUCGCUUGGAACGCCGAAGGUGAAAACAGGCUGCUGGGGUUGUGCCGACGCUGAGACACGAAAGCCAGGGGAGCAAACGGG